rnacentral:lncRNA from 1 species
CUCGCAACGCAGAGACUCAUACAGAGCUAAUAACUACCCAACCACCAGCUAUGCCCCCAAACACACAGAACAUGCUCCACAACACGUCUGUGAGCCUCACAACGCCUAGCCUGUCCUUAAUACCCACCUCAGCCUACGAUGUCACACAUGCUCCAUGGCAGGCCUCCCACCCUAGCCCGUGCAGCGGUAUCGCAACGCAGAGAUGUGCCUCGCAUGUAAACGUUCUCCCCAGAAUGCCAACGCUUGCUCUGUAAGGCAUCCAGUAUGACUGUAACACCUAGAUUUGCCUCCAGACUCAGGCUUGCACCACAAUACUCCCCCAGUGCCUCACAAUACCUACCACGAAUGUAGAGUGGACGGACCUGCCCCACAAUGUCCAGACUUAGAAAACCAAGACAUGCCCUAUCGGCCACAGGUUCCACAAAGCAAAAAUCUCCCUGUUGCACAGCCCAACUCUACAUCAUAUAGUCACCCCCCCCCCCCCACGGUAGGAACAGACCUCAAAUAUUCAGUCACAAAUUCAGUCUUGCCACACAACACUGACAGGUGUCUUACGACUCACACACGAGUUCCACGAUACCUAGACACAGCUAACUUACAAUGGACAGGUAUACGCUGUGACACAAAGGUUUCUCCCCGAAACACCAGAUUGCAUUCUGAUGCACAGAAUCCCCCCCAAACACACACACACAUGCACUCAUAGUGCCACAGGUGUUUACACUGACACAGAACUACGGGUGUAUCAGAAUCCCACAGACCAUACGUUCUUUCAGCCACAGCCAAAGACAUAUGUUUGCGCAAGUAUGAACAUAUAACCAGAGUUCCAGCAAGGACCACCUCAUGUUUAUGCAGAUACACGUAUACAUACACACAGAUGCAUACAAACACCCACAGUUUGGUGUGUAGGCACAAAGCAACAUGCAGUCACAGAUGCACACUCCACACUCGCACAGGCCCAGAGAAGCACGCAGAGACACAUGCAUGCCAACCUAGGCGUCCAGAGGAUGUGUUUACUGAUUCAUAACCUCAAAGAUGCAAGAACACAAAUGCAUGCACACACGCGCACACACACACACACACACACACACACACACACACACACACGGAAAGACGCAUAAAUGCUUCUAGAGGCUCAUGAGGUGUGGACUCAUCCUCAGACACCCCCAGACAUUUAUGGAGAAAUGUAGACAAGUACAUAUGAGCCCACACAGACACAUAGGCAUUUGCAUGUGUGCACACAGAGCCACAGGCAGGUGCAUGGAGUCAUCCGUAUGCAGACACAGGCGUAUGCAUGUUCAUUGCUACGCAGAGACAUAGAGACAUUUAUAAAAAACUGAAAUAUGGAGAUGUAUUCAUAAGGAGACACGUGUGUUUUAAACACGUAUCUGGCAUCUUUAUGCUCAUAGAGUCACAUGAAUUUACACACAGAGGCAAGUUGUUAUUAAAACACACCUGCAUACACAUGGUCCUGCCUGGACCUGCAACCUGGGUGCUCAUGCUGACCAUGAAAACCUAGAAACAUGCCCACAUGCACAUGUAUAGAAAUGUACCUGGGGAAGCACGUGGGGAUAUUCGUGCAUAUGGGUGUGCGUAUGGAACCACACAAGCAUGCCGUGUGCACACAUAGAUGCACUCGUACAUGGAGACAUACACAUGCACACAGACAAAACAGAGAUGGACCCAUGAAGACAUCUCUGCAUGAAUAUGAGCAGACACAUUUAGAGAGAGACGUUUAUAUACAGAGAGAGAUGCCUCCCGUGUAGAUACAGGGGAGAGGAGAGGGAGCGGGGAGACGGAGGUUGGUCGGCUUGGCAGAGACACUUUCUUAUGCAGAAGCUCACACCUACACACAGAGACACACAGGCCUAGAGACCCAUACGAAGAUGUGCACAGGCGAACACAGCUGCACUCACACACUCACUCAGAUGCACGAGAGGAGCAAAGUCACACACACACAUGCAGAAACUCAGGUAUAUUCACGGAGACCCAGGCAAGUGCACAGAGACAGAGAUGUACGUGGAUCCUCACCCAUACGGACUCACAAAGAUACAGACUCAGAAGCUUGUGCAGGUGCCUGCGGGGACAGGUACACAGGUUUGUACACUUACAGACAUUGAGCACGGAUGUACUGAUAGAUGAGGAGACCCACAGACAUACCUGAACAAACGCAGAGGCACACAGGGACCUCCAUGUGCUGCAGGUGCAGCCCUAAAAAGACAAAAAAAGAAAAA